AACUUGUAGGGGGUGCAGGGGGUGCGUUCCAGGCUCCAGUCCCUUUUGGGGUAUGUCCUUCUCCUUCUUCUCUGCUGUCUGGCUGAUGCAGCCUGCAUAAACCAUGAACUUGACUAGUUUGGUUAUGAUUCUCAAUUUUUAUUUCAAUUAUCAUUAACUUGUAAAAAUCUUCCCCCUUAUUUGAGUAAGAGAUGUCAUGUCAAAAAAAAAAAAAAAAAAAAAGUCACAGCUACAUUUUAGCUCAUUUCAAUCUUUGCUGCUACCUGGAUUUCCUGGCUUCUUGACAACCCAUAUUUAGUACAUAUUGAGGCUGUAAUUGCAUAAUCAUCGAAAGGUCAUAGGUGAACAUUUUGUGCUUCAGAAAUUUCCUGAAAUUUCCUGAAUUACUAGCUGUGUCUGAAAGGGACUUGAUAACUUGGAUUUUUAGCAAGUAUUACAAUUUGAAUAUACCACAAUAUUACUAUAAACAAUUGAAAAUCCUAAGUAGGUCCAAACAAGAGAGUAGCAAAUACACAAAGGAUAAUAGGUAGGACCUGUGUAAAAGGGAAAAUGAACGAUGUUACCAUUAUGAUGCUAUGACCAUUAGUACGGUCAGUAUUUUACAAGGUGUAUAUUAGCAGUUUGUAAAGAACUGCUGUUCUGAUAUUCUGGUAUUCCCAAGUAGCUUAGAGAGGCUAUUCUAUAGCUAUUUCUUCAAGAAUGACAGUUUCCAGCCUGUCUUUUUAAAUGUCAGAAUAAGUGUCUGAUGUAAAGUAGGAAUUAGGAUAUGAGAAUCAGAGUCAUUUCGAGUUUCUUAAACAAGACCUCUAAGUCUUAAGCAGGAAUCGGCAUAUCAGUUUUACAGAUGGGAACAUCGUAAGAGCCAUUUGUUUAAACUCGGCAUAAUUAGAGAUAAUUACGUGUUUAACAGUCUUUUAAGCUCAUUCUCUGGUUUGUAAGGAACAGAGACUCAUGUUAAUUACCCAGAAAAAGGAGGCAUGUUGCUAAGCCGCGUAAACUAGAACGAGAACAGAAACGGCAUCAGAAUGAACUGUGCAACCCAGCUCUCUGCUUCUCUCUGACAUGGACAUCUCUGGUUCCCCCUCCUCUUUACUUCUAUCCCUAACCCCAACCCCUGAUACAGACAGAAAACAGCAGUCAAACUAACGUCAAUAUAUGAUGUGCUAUAUUUGUUAUCUUAAACAAAUAUGUACGUUGCUUUCUGGUUUUUGUGUGUGACUUGAUUAGGCUAAGCCGGCAUCCCUGUGGACAGAAAAUCCCAAGGCAGAGACAAAACAGAGUUUCUGUGCCUGCAAGGAUGGGCCUGCCCCUGGACUGUGGUGAAUUUACACUGUGACACCAAAUAAGUUAUCCUUCUUGGCAGCUACUGGCCUUUCAGGCUGCACCAAGACAUACAGCACAUCAUUUUGUUCAAACUCCUGUUGCAGGGAGGGAGGCAUCUAUACAUGCCCAUUAUAUGUGGCUAAAUUUAAAAAAUAUGUUUUAGUUCUUAAAGACAUACUCUUGAGUUACUUUGAAAAUGACCUUUCCAAAUGUCAUAUCCCUUUUACUGUCAAUAAACAAGGCAACGCUGUGUUUAUAAAGUUGAAAUGGAAAGAAGCAGAAGGAAAAAAUAACGAAUUUCUAUGGUGAAACUCACAAGUAUUUUUACUUCUUUUUUCCUGCUUAGAUAUAAAAAUCCUGUUAAUUACUCCUGUAAACCUCAGCUCCUUGCUGUUCUGAUGUGGGUCUUGGAUACAUUCCAUAGCGUUCGUUAUGCACCGGAGGCUGGAACAGAACAAACGAAGGGAAGAAACUGUUAUGUCCUUGUGCUUUUGGGCUCCAAUGACAACAUUGGCCACUUGGUGGCAGUGAUUGGUUUAGUCCAGGCUGAGGAGUUCAUGUAUUUCUUUUGUGAU
ensembl:lncRNA